rnacentral:rRNA from 1 species
CCACGCCGUAAACGAUGGGCGCUAGUUGUGCGAACCUUCCACGGUUUGUGCGACGCAGCUAACGCAUUAAGCGCCCCGCCUGGGGAGUACGAUCGCAAGAUUAAAACUCAAAGGAAUUGACGGGGCCCCGCACAAGCAGCGGAGCAUGCGGCUUAAUUCGACGCAACGCGAAGAACCUUACCAAGGCUUGACAUAUACAGGAAUACGGCAGAGAUGUCGUAGCGGUUAAACGUCUGUAUACAGGUGGUGCAUGGUUGUCGUCAGCUCGUGUCGUGAGAUGUUGGGUUAAGUCCCGCAACGAGCGCAACCCUCGUUCUGUGUUGCCAGCAUUUAGUUGGGGACUCACAGGAGACUGCCGGGGUUAACUCGGAGGAAGGUGGGGAUGACGUCAAAUCAUCAUGCCCCUUAUGUCUUGGGCUGCACGCAUGCUACAAUGGCUGGUACAAAGGGCUGCAAUACUGCAAAGUGGAGCGAAUCCCAAAAAGCCAGUCUCAGUUCGGAUUGGGGUCUGCAACUCGACCCCAUGAAGUCGGAGUUGCUAGUAAUCGUAGAUCAGCAACGCUACGGUGAAUACGUUCCCGGGGCUUGUACACACCGCCCGUCACAUCACGAAAGUCGGUAACACCCGAAGUCAGUGGCCCAACCGCAAGGAGGGAGCUGCCGAAGGUGGGAUCGGUGAUUGGGAUGAAGU